AUGAUCCUCCUACCCUGUAACUCCCACAGUAACUAGCUGCUCUACACCGGCUUCAGCCAAGACCACGGAUGCCUUGCUUGUGGGAUGGAAAACGGAUUCUGAGUCUAUAACACCAAUCCAUUAAAAUAAAAAGAGAAACAAAUUUCUAGGAGGAAGAGUUGGUCAUAAUGAAAUGUUAUUUUGCUGCAACUAUUUAGCUUUAGUUGUUGGUGGAAAAAAGCCAAAAUACCUUCCCAACAAAGUGAUGAUCUGAGAUGACUGAAAAAGAAGACUGUUAAUGAAAUAGAAUUUGCUACAGAAGUCAAGGCAGUCAAAUUGCAGCGAGAUAGAAUUGUGGUUGUUUUGGACUCCAUGAUUAAGGUGUUUGCACUCACACAGAACCCCCAUCAGUUGUACAUCUUUGAAACCUCCUAAAACCCUAAAGGCCUCUGUCCUCUGUCCCAAUAGCAACAACUCUCUUCUGGCCUUGCCAGGCAUGCACACGAGCCAUGUUCAGCUCGUGGACUGGGCCAGCACAGAGAAGCCACCUGUGGACAUUCCCGCUCCUGAGGGCAUCCUGAGCUGCAUGAUACUCAACCUGCAGGGAACAAGAAUUGCAACCACACUCGCAAAAGGGACCCUUAUAAGAAUAUUUGAUACCUCAUCAGGACAUUUAAUCCAGGAACUAUGAAGAGGAUCUCAAGCAGCUAAUGUUUUCUGCAUUAACUUCAAUCAAGAUGAGUCCUUCAUCUGCAUAUCCAGUGACCACAGCACAGUGCACAUUUUUGCAGCUGAAGACCCAGGGAGGAAAAAACAGUCCAAUUUGGUGUCAGCUAGUUUCCUUCCAAAAUCCUUUAGUUGCAAAGGGGUUUCUCCAAGUUUCAGGUUCCCUUGGGCUCUCCAUGCAUUUGUGCCCUUGGAACAGAGCCAAAUGUGGUCACUGCGAUUUGUGCAGAUGUCGGCUACUACAAAUUCCUAUUCAACCCCAGAAGGGAAUGCAUCCCAGACAUCUAUGCGCAGUUUCUAGAAAUGAUCUACGACAAGCUG
rnacentral:lncRNA from 1 species